UACGUAGGGUGCAAGCGUUGUCCGGAAUUAUUGGGCGUAAAGAGCUCGUAGGCGGUUUGUCGCGUCGGCUGUGAAAUCCUCCGGCUCAACUGGAGCCUGCAGUCGAUACGGGCAGACUAGAGUGCUGUAGGGGAGACUGGAAUUCCUGGUGUAGCGGUGAAAUGCGCAGAUAUCAGGAGGAACACCGGUGGCGAAGGCGGGUCUCUGGGCCGAAAUUGACGCUGAGGAGCGAAAGCGUGGGGAGCAAACAGG
rnacentral:rRNA from 1 species